AUCCAGAUGACGAAUCGAAAAUAGGAUGAAACCUGCGUCCUAGGAU
rnacentral:hammerhead_ribozyme from 1 species